rnacentral:lncRNA from 1 species
CAAACUGUGACCCACACUAUGAUACGGUUCUCUACACAUUAUUUAUCUUCACUUUGACCUUUGACCUUCCACAGCAGGAAGAACCACGGGAGGCCCCGCCCACACACUCCCGACACAGACACAUGUUUGGAGAUGUCUGUGGAUGAACCAGGAGAAGUUCUGCUGGUGAGAGACCGCGGCUCUCCUGACAGACGUAGGAGGACGUGGACCUCCAGGGUCACGGAUCCUCUGCAGCCCGUGGACCACUGGAGACCCCUAGUGUGGGAGUCAAAGAGGCGGAGUCAGAGUCUGGACUUAAGGAGACAGAGGAGAGGUCUUUUCCUGACUCCAGACGCCUGGAUCCACUCCCUGAGCCAGGAGAACUUCUCAUGGUGGAGACCUCCGAGCUCAGCUGAUCCAGCUCCAGGAACCAGUCCAGGAAUCAGCCCAGAGGGCCCCACACCACAGGAGGUCCCUGGUUCUUCUGUGCCCGUGAGGAACCAGGCCAGAUCUGGUCCUCAGGAGUCUGCUAGCAGCUACAGCAGCUAUGCUAGCAGUGGUAGAGGUAGCAUGGAGCCGACCAAUCACGGACUCUCUCCCUCUCGCCUCUCUCCGGCCCUCAGAGGGUCAGCAGACCCCCAGGGGGGCCCCCACAUGGAAAUGAAGCAGAGGAGGAAGACCUCAGUGGACGAAAACUAUGAGUGGGAUUCAACGGACAUCAGCACACACACUGGAGAGAAGGAUGGGUUAUUUUCUCUGCGCUGUAGCCGUCCCAGCAUGCACUGCUCCUCUCAGGCACUGAAGACGUCUCAGAGAAGCUUCUCCGACGAACCCCAGCUGGACACGGUGCUGUUCUGACGGUUUGUGGAUGGCAGAGACGUUCCUUGAAGCGUGCAGAACCCCAUCAUCGUCUCUAAAUGAUGAUCUUUUAAUGAACUGAGGGAGAAACACAUCAGAUGAACUUUAGCUGUGACGUAUCAUUUCUGAUCAAAGUGUGUAUUAGUGUUGGUUCUUUUCUGUUCUUCACUUUAGCAAAAUAAGAAACACUGAUCAUUUUUCUUCUGAAUCAUCUCAUUUGUGGAGACAUUAUCUCGCUCUGGGUGUAAAAAUGUUUUCAUGUUACCAUGGUAACAGGAGCAAAGCUGCACACAGGAGGUUUUUUGUUUUUUUUAUUGUAUUUUGGGCUUCAUAUCAGUAUAGGAAUAGAUUUAGUCUAAAUAUAUUAACAAACUGGAGCUCAAAGUUAUUUCAAACUCAAACAUUUGUUCUUUGUGUUAAGCAACAUAAGGUUUAAGUGAUGAAAUGUAGACAUCAGGUUCAGAGCAGAAGGUCCACCUACUCCAGAUGUUUGGAUGUUAAUGCUCAUGUAGUGAACGCAGGGUUGGGGUCAAUUACAAUUUUCAAUUACGAUUACGUUUUUAACUAUUAAAUGUUCAUUUUCAACUCAAAUACGAUUAUAUAUAGGGACUACCAUUUCCCCUGAAAGUCAAUUAUAAUUACAUUCUCAAUUACUAAAGUUUAAUUACAGUUAAUCACAAUUUACUGAGUCUUCCUCAUGUGUUAGCUUUCUGUUAGCAUCUCUUCUGGGUCAUUACAUGACAUUUCAACUAAUGGCCCACGCACUCCAGUCUCAGAAUUAUGACAUUUUGUUUAUCCUAAUUUUUUUUCAUGUUCAUCUUCCAAUAUAUCAGUAACUCCAUCACAUAUAAAGGUAAAUAUGAUAUAGUAAUAAGCUCCACCCACUCUCUCAGAAUAUAGAAAUAGAUCUGCUAUACAUCCUAUAUAUCUGGUGGACAUGUCAGCUCCUCUAAAUAGUCACAAAGUCAGUGUGUGUUUGGGUCUGGAACAUGUUUGGGUCUUCAGUAAACUACUUAGCAUAUGUCUCAGCUCCCUGUAAUGUGAUCAGCUUAGAGCUAUGAACAUAGACUGUUCACAUCACUAAUGAUUAGUCACAGAUAUGCAUUGGUUCUAGACUCACACGCUCUGGAAAUAUGAAAAUAUACUUAUUUUUAACUAUUUUUAUUGACUCAUAACUACAUGUGGGAAUGUAAGAACAAAUCUGAUAAUUUAUAGUAUAAAAGGACAUAAAACCAUUUUUAUUUAUGCAACUUCUUCAUUUUUGUUUUGGACCCCAUCUUUAGGUUUUCACCACUCGUGCAUAUUAAAAAUUAAUAUUUUUGGUGUGGCUGUCUGGACCCCCUAGAUUACCCCUCAAAAUGUACAUAAUACAUAAUUGUUAACUAUGCAUGUGUAAGACAUAGAACUGUAACAUGUAACAGUUUUGUAUUUAAUUAAAUUGUAAAUGACAGUUUUUAUAUCAUUUUCAUGCCGAUUACAAUUAAAAAGUCAAUUAUCUGAACUUAUUUACAAUUCAAUUACAAUUAUAAUUGACCCUGAACCAGCCUCUCACACACUGUACUCACAGAGAUAACAGCACAUUUUUAAAAAACACACACAAUCACUUUUCUUGUCAGUUUUUUUCUCUCGCUCUUGAUUAAUGUCUAUGUAUUGUUCUGUGUCGGAGAGCGCUGCAGCAGGUUUACUACCGAGCGUGACAGAUUAGAUCUCAUUUCUGCUUGUUACUGUAUUAUCUCCAGCUAAGAGUGAAAUUGGUCCCAUUAUGUGCAUUAACACCGUAGAAAUAUAGUUUCAGAGUAGAAGCUAAACAAGAGUUAAAUCAGUCAAUCACUGGUGUUAAGAUGUCAGAGAAGUUAAUGACUUGACCCAAAGCACAGUAACACCAUCAGGAGGAAAGUGGCUUUUCCUUCUGCUUUAAUGAAUCCUUUACCCACGAGACUUCCUUUGCUUGUGCGUCAGGAACCGAGCGCGGCCGCCCCCGUCCUGAUUAACCAACGUAUUGGACUCGUUACCAGCACAGGUUUUAGGCUCUUUUUUAAAUUUCACUGACAACCAAAAAGUCUUUUGCACUAAAGUCCUCCAGCAUGAGUGUCAAAGUCAUUUAUUUUAAUCCAGAGGCCAAAGAUGGAGCAGUUUGUGUGGGAAGGUGUGGAGAAGAAGAAGAAGCUAUGUUGACAUUAAUGUGGCCUAUAGUUUACAUUUCUACCAUAAAGUCUGUAACACACUGAUCAUAUCAACCACUAAGAGACUAAUAUCAGUCUCUGCUCUUGGAUAUUUGUGUAAUUUUGGGAAUUCUUCUGGUAUUGCAGGAUUUUCUCUCAGAUAGACAUAGUUUUAUAUUUGUAUGUACAUAAAUUAGAAUAUAGUGUGUUAUUUGUACUUUUGGAAUUAUUGUCUGUCAUUUGAUUAUGGACUGCACUAUGAAGUAUAAUGUGUAAAAAAUGUUUACCCUGGAGGAAGAAAAUAAAAUAGUUGAUAUAUUUGAAGAAUUGUACCCG